CUGCUCCUAGUACGAGAGGACCAGAGUGGACGAACCUCUGGUGUACCGGUUGUGACGCCAGUCGCAUCGCCGGGUAGCUAUGUUCGGAAGGGAUAACCGCUGAAAGCAUCUAAGCGGGAAGCCUACCUCAAGAUAAGAUUUCCCUAGGACUUUAUGUCCUCUAAAGAGCCGUUGAAGACUACGACGUUGAUAGGUUGGAUGUGGAAGCAUAGUGAUAUGUGAAGCUGACCAAUACUAAUUGCUCGUGAGGCUUGACUAUACAACACCCAAACAGUUGG
rnacentral:rRNA from 1 species